UGGCUGGUAAGCUCAGUUGGUUAGAGCAUGGUGUUGAUAACACCAAGGUCCAGGGUUCAAUCCCCGUGCCAGUCAA